UGGGGAAUAUUGCGCAAUGGGGGCAACCCUGACGCAGCAACGCCGCGUGCGGGACGACGGCCUUCGGGUUGUAAACCGCUUUCAGCAGGGAAGAUAGUGACGGUACCUGCACAAGAAGCCCCGGCUAACUACGUGCCAGCAGCCGCGGUAAUACGUAGGGGGCGAGCGUUAUCCGGAUUCAUUGGGCGUAAAGCGCGCGCAGGCGGCUCUUCAAGCGGAACCUCUAACCCCGGGGCUCAACCUCGGGCCGGGUUCCGAACUGGAGGGCUCGAGUGCGGUAGAGGCAGGCGGAAUUCCCGGGGUAGCGGUGGAAUGCGCAGAUAUCGGGAAGAACACCGAUGGCGAAGGCAGCCUGCUGGGCCGGCACUGACGAUGAGGCGCGAAAGCUAGGGGAGCGAACAGG
rnacentral:rRNA from 1 species